rnacentral:rRNA from 1 species
AGUGAACGCUGGCGGUAGGCCUAACACAUGCAAGUCGAACGGCAGCACAGUAAGAGCUUGCUCUUACGGGUGGCGAGUGGCGGACGGGUGAGGAAUACAUCGGAAUCUACUUUUUCGUGGGGGAUAACGUAGGGAAACUUACGCUAAUACCGCAUACGACCUACGGGUGAAAGCAGGGGAUCUUCGGACCUUGCGCGAUUGAAUGAGCCGAUGUCGGAUUAGCUAGUUGGCGGGGUAAAGGCCCACCAAGGCGACGAUCCGUAGCUGGUCUGAGAGGAUGAUCAGCCACACUGGAACUGAGACACGGUCCAGACUCCUACGGGAGGCAGCAGUGGGGAAUAUUGGACAAUGGGCGCAAGCCUGAUCCAGCCAUACCGCGUGGGUGAAGAAGGCCUUCGGGUUGUAAAGCCCUUUUGUUGGGAAAGAAAAGCAGCAGGUUAAUACCCCGCUGUUCUGACGGUACCCAAAGAAUAAGCGUCGGCUAACUUCGUG